UUAAUUGAAACCAAAGUCAGAGGUAUGCUACUGUUAAUAGUAUAAAUGGGAUACACCCCAAUUAAA
rnacentral:tRNA from 1 species